rnacentral:lncRNA from 1 species
UCGAAUAUUUUUAUAUAAUUUUAUUCAAUAAAAAUAUUAUAAAUUAUUUUAUUUUUUAAAAUAUAGUUUGAAUUUUUUUUCUUUUAGUAAAUAUUAACGAGAUAUAUCCAUAAAAUUUUAACGAGAUAAAACUUUCCUUUCAGAUCAUGAAUUUCUUUCCUAUCCGCCGUCUCUUAUAGCUACUGCUAGCGUAGCAGCUGCUGCUGAUGGAUUAAAUUGGAUGGAAAAACCAUGGAACAACUUGACUGAAUUAUUAUUAUUAUUACAACAAAUAACUGGAAUCGAAGUUACGUCUAUUAGGUCGUGUGUUCAACAAAUCGAACAAGUAGUGACAUCGGAAAUGGCCGUAGUUCUUAAAUCUAAUCCAACACCUCCAAAUGGUAGUAGCAAAGUGAACUGCAAGGCAACUGGAGUUGGACAACCGGAAACUCCAACCGACGUGCAAAACGUACAGAUAUAAUUUGUGCACAUUUUCAUAUUUGUAUAUACAUCAUAUUAAAAAAAUGAGCAAAAAACAGAACAUCAAUCGAACGAUCUACACUCAUUAUGAAUGAUGAUUACUACAUGUGUGACCAAGAAUGUAAAUGUCGAAACAGUCAUCCUAUUGAUUAUCAAAAUAAUCUUGAGUCAUCCUAUAAUGUUUUGUGAAGUUUUUGAAGACACAAUAUCGUAUAAUCAUCACCAUAUUACAAAAAAAUGUGCCUCAUUUGGCUUAGAUCAUCUUUCUAGUCGUCAUCGAAUAUGGACGCUCGUACAAAUUUGCGGCAGGGGUAGUUUUUCAAAUUUAUAUGGGUAUACUUUAAAUACUGUACAUGAUCCUAACGUGGGAUAACUUCAGAGAAUGUUGACGUGGUGCUAAUGUGGAAGAUGAUAAAAUUAGGAUCUUUAUAUAUAAAAAAAUAUCGGUUUAAAUAUAUUAUGUCAUGGGCAUUUAUCGUCGAGGAGAAUGUAUAUAAAACCUAAGAGGACACAAAUCUAUAAAUGUCCAUUAAUAACUGUACAUAGUAUUUAUGGUAAAAAUAACAUAUUGACAAAAAUAGUUUUUGUAUUUGCUGUUUUAUAAAAUUUCAAGUUUUAUGUAUACUGUAUGUUUUAUUGUG